UACGUAGGGAGCAAGCGUUGUCCGGAAUCAUUGGGCGUAAAGCGCGCGUAGGCGGCUCGAUCAGUCUGUUGUGAAAGUCAAAGGCUCAACCUUUGAAUGCCGAUGGAUACUGUCGAGCUAGAGUCCGGAAGAGGCGAGUGGAAUUCCUGGUGUAGCGGUGGAAUGCGCAGAUAUCUGGAGGAACACCAAUGGCGAAGGCGAGCACUCCUGGGACGUGACUGACGCUGAGACGCGAAAGCGUGGGGAGCAAACAGGG
rnacentral:rRNA from 1 species